AAUAUUGGCAUUUUGCGCAAUGCGUGAUACAGCUAAAUGCAGCCUAUGGCGAAGUAGAGGUAGAGCAUUGCUAAUGCCCUGUCAACACGUUUAAAAGAGAAGAGAUCUUAGUAGUUUCUGAUUGCGUUACUAUCUCAAGAAUAACCGCCGAACUACUCGCCACCAGCAGCGGUGAUAAUGCGGAGGCAACAAGUAUUGUCAAGUAUCAGUGGUAAUAAAGGGUGCGCAGGUGGGAUAACAAAUCGGAGAUAAACCCCGACUCCUCAACCAAGGAACAUCCUUUGAAGUUGUAGCUCAGGAGUCUAGAAGAGGGGGUAAUAAUUGGUGGUGUAGCGAUAAAAUGAGUAGUUAUCAGGAGCAACACCAGAGGAGGAAGCCGCCAGGUGCAAGAGUAACGACGAUCAGGCAAAAAAUGGGGAGGAACCAACAUGAUUAGACCCCGUAGUACUCCCCGCAAAAAACGAUGAAUACUCGUCGGGGCCUCGUCUGGGCGCGGUGGCGCAGCUAACGCGCUAAGCAUGCGCCUGGG
rnacentral:rRNA from 1 species